rnacentral:rRNA from 1 species
CACGUAGGGGCGAGCGUUGUCCGGAAUCAUUGGGCGUAAAGAGCGUGUAGGCGGCCCGGUAAGUCCGCUGUGAAAGUCCAGGGCUCAACCCUGGGAUGCCGGUGGAUACUGUCGGGCUCGAGUCCGGAAGAGGAGUGUGGAAUUCCUGGUGUAGCGGUGAAAUGCGCAGAUAUCAGGAAGAACACCCGUGGCGAAAGCGGCUCUCUGGGACGGUACUGACGCUGAGACGCGAAAGCGUGGGGAGCGAACAGG